UACGGAGGGUGCGAGCGUUGUCCGGAAUCAUUGGGCGUAAAGGGCGCGUAGGUGGCCCGGUCAGCGUGCGGUGAAAGCUCGGGGCUCAACCCCGAGUCGGCCGUGCGAACUGCUGGGCUUGAGCACUGUAGAGGCAGGCGGAAUUCCGGGUGUAGCGGUGGAAUGCGUGGAGAUCCGGAAGAACACCGGUGGCGAAGGCGGCCUGCUGGGCAGUGGCUGACACUGAGGCGCGACAGCGUGGGGAGCAAACAGG
rnacentral:rRNA from 1 species